UACGUAGGGGGCAAGCGUUGUCCGGAUUCAUUGGGCGUAAAAAGCGUGUAGGCGGCCAGGUAGGUCGGUUGUGAAAACUGGAGGCUCAACCUUCAGAGGUCGACCCGAAACCAUCUGGCUAGAGUCCGGGAGAGGAGAGUGGAAUUCCUGGUGUAGCGGUGAAAUGCGCAGAUAUCAGGAAGAACACCCGUGGCGAAAGCGGCUCUCUGGAACGGUACUGACGCUGAGACGCGAAAGCGUGGGGAGCGAACAGG
rnacentral:rRNA from 1 species